rfam:Canis lupus familiaris chromosome 5, whole genome shotgun sequence.
GGGGGGAGGCCGGAUCCUGGGCUGUGUCCCGGCGCACUGUGCUCCCGGUCUGCGCUGAAUCCCGGGCCGCGCAACCCCCU